CCUUGAGAUCUCAGGUACAGAACUGGCAAGACUUCUUGCUGCAUUGUAAUGCUGAUCAGAACCCAUUUCCCAUAGAGCUGGAUUAUCUAGUUGUGGCUGAAAGUAUCCCAAGAACAUGUAGUAAGUGACAUGUCAGAUACAUUUUUCAUACCAGAUGGCUUAGAGAGAGAAAAGAUUAAGCCAGCCUACAAGUUAAUCGCAUCUUGCUUUUCAGCAUCCAUAUAAGCGUUACUGUAGUAACGUUGCAAUGUUCUGAAUAACUCUUGCGACUGAGUAGCCGCUUUCCACUGACCACGCCUUUCACAAAAUAUCU
rnacentral:lncRNA from 1 species